CUCAGAUUCCACCCGUUUGCAUCUCCAAUUCUGUUACAAACCCAACCAACUACGAGAGAAGGGUCAUUCAUGAAAAUUCGGAACCUGACAAUCUUCAACUCAAGUUGAGAUUUUCUGAGUUGGUUUCCAUGAAUCGGAGGAACUAAGUCCUAAAUCCUUGAACCAAAAGUCUCUGGAUCUUGGUGUAUUCCUUGGGGGGAAUUCUAUGAUUUAUCACAUGCUGCUACUACAUUCUUUUAAGAGAAUGAGAAUGAAGCAAAUUCAAUGGGACGGAUUUUUACUCCUUGUGCCUUAAAUUCAGAAUUUAUUCCUAAUAUUUUAUCCAUGCACAUGAAGAUUUGAGGUCCCAAUGUACUCGAGAGUUUCGCAAACGAUGGGUAAUAUCUGAUUAAUUGGUGUCCUAGUCUAAGUGAUCUUUUAACUUUGAA